rnacentral:rRNA from 1 species
ACCUUUGGGUGGGGAAUAACUUAGGGAAACUUAAGCUAAUACCGCAUAAUGCAGCGGCUCCUUCGGGAGAAGUUGUUAAAGAUUUAUCGCCUAAAGAGCAGCCUGCGGCAGAUUAGCUAGUUGGUAAGGUAACGGCUUACCAAGGCUACGAUCUGUAUCCGACCUGAGAGGGUGGUCGGACACACUGACACUGAAUAACGGGUCAGACUCCUACGGGAGGCAGCAGUCGGGAAUUUUGGGCAAUGGGCGAAAGCCUGACCCAGCAACGCCGCGUGAAGGAUGAAGUCUUUCGGGAUGUAAACUUCGUAAGAAUAGGAAGAAUAAAUGACGGUACUAUUUGUAAGGUCCGGCUAACUACGUGCCAGCAGCCGCGGUAAUACGUAGGGACCAAGCGUUGUUCGGAUUUACUGGGCGUAAAGGGCGCGUAGGCGGCAAUUCAAGUCAGUUGUGAAAUCUCCGAGCUUAACUCGGAACGGUCAACUGAUACUGCUUUGCUAGAGUACAGAAGGGGCAAUCGGAAUUCUUGGUGUAGCGGUGAAAUGCGUAGAUAUCAAGAGGAACACCUGAGGUGAAGACGG